rnacentral:rRNA from 1 species
GAUGAACGCUAGCGGCAGGCUUAAUACAUGCAAGUCGAGGGACAGCACAGGUAGCAAUACUGGGUGGUAACCGGCAAACGGGUGCGGAACACGUACACAACCUUCCUUUAAGUGGGGGAUAGCCCAGAGAAAUUUGGAUUAAUACCCCGUAAUAUAGUUUGAUGGCAUCAUCGGACUAUUAUAGCUACGGCGCUUAAUGAUGGGUGUGCGGCUGAUUAGAUAGUUGGCGGGGUAACGGCCCACCAAGUCUACGAUCGGUAGGGGAUCUGAGAGGAUGGCCCCCCACACUGGUACUGAGACACGGACCAGACUCCUACGGGAGGCAGCAGUAAGGAAUAUUGGUCAAUGGACGGAAGUCUGAACCAGCCAUGCCGCGUGCAGGAAGACGGUCCUCUGGAUUGUAAACUGCUUUUGUUAGGGAAGAAACUUCCGUACGUGUACGGGACUGACGGUACCUAAAGAAUAAGGAUCGGCUAACUCCGUGCCAGCAGCCGCCGUAAAAC